rnacentral:rRNA from 1 species
ACAAACGCUGGCGGCGUGCCUAACACAUGCAAGGUCGAACGGACCCUUCGGGGUAGUGGCAGACGGGUGAGUAACACGUAGGUAAUGUACCUUCUUGCUGGGGAUACCUACCCGAAAGGGUGGUUAAUACCGAAUGGUCUCGCGCUGCGGCAUCGCGGUGCGAGUAAAGUGAUUUAGCGCGAGGGGAUCAGCCUGCGGGCCAUCAGCUGGUUGGUGGGGUAACGGCCUACCAAGGCAUCGACGGUUAGCCGGUCUGAGAGGAUCGAUCGGCCACACUGGAACUGAGAGACGGUCCAGACUCCUACGGGAGGCAGCAGUGAGGAAUAUUGCGCAAUGGGCGGAAGCCUGAACCGCAGCGACGCCGCGUGAGGGAUGAAGGUUUUCGGAUCGUAAACCUCUGUUAAGCAGGGAAGAGUAACGGACGGUACCUGCUGAGGAAGCAUCGGCUUACUACGUGCCAGCCGCGGC